rnacentral:lncRNA from 1 species
CGGGUCGGCUGAGACCCAGCCUGUCAUCUGUACUUGGGGCCUCUGCCUGCUGCCUACCUGCUCGGAGCCUCUCAUCUGGACACUGCGGGUCAGGGGGACUUAGGCCCACAGUAGCUCGGUGGUGAUGACAAUGGCUCAGUUCAGGGAUCCCCCUGCCUGGCCUUAGAGGCGUUCAGCUGGGCUUUACCACUUCCCAGCUGGCUGACUUUAAACAGAUGAGCUUUCUGAGCCUCAGUUUCCUCAGUCUAUAAAAUGGGGACGAAAAUAAGGUUUUGUGGGGAGUGAAUGAGAUGAUGAGGCACAGGCAGUGUCCAGGAGAGCCCUGCCCGGGGCCAGUCUCAUCCCCUCUCUCCUCUUGCCCUGCUCCCUUCUGGAUCCUGUCUGCCUCUGGUCCGGCUGAAAUCCUCCUCGUUUUUUCGCCUUGGGGUUUUCCUUUCUUUUUUUGACCUCUUUUCCCUCCCCACACUCCGACUUUAUCUCUGGCCCCCCUUUGCACUAUGUUUCGUUUCUCUGCCCAGACAUUUGAUGAAGCCCGGUCCUGCCCUCCUGCUGCCCAGGGGUUGGGGCUGGGCCCGGGCGGGGGCGGGGGUAGGCGUGCUGACGUCAGUCCGCCCCUCCCUGCCAAACGCAAAUUUCAUCCUCGUACUCUCUGAAUCAAUUUACUUUUAUUGCCUCAGCUGCUCAAAAGCAAUUUUUCAAGAACAAAAAGGUCAGCACGUCCAAGACUAAUCAAUUCUCCGAGAGCUCCUGCCACCACGGCCGGGGGAGCCGGGGACUGGCGGCCCCCCGCCCUUCCCGCCAGCCCCUCCCACCAGCCCCAUCACUUUUAUUGCUUCAUGAUGCCUGUCAUUAGCGGUGUGUUUGAGACGCCCCACAGUGUUCUUACAACAUAAAACCUGGCCCACUCACGGGGAGGGGGGGGAGGGAGGUGGCAGGCACAUUUAUGGCCACUCGCGGCCGGGAGACAGUAACAGCCAAGCUGAUGGAUCGCCUGUAAGGGGAGGCAGAACAGGAAGCAUCCAGCCACUUGUUCAAAAGCUGGGCUCCAGAGGACGCGCCAGAGGAGCCAGGGCCCCGCCUGCUUGCCGUCAACGCCCUAGCACAGUGGCCUUGGGCACCUACCCACUAUCGCCCAGUCCAGGCCCUUCCUCUCAAGGCCACCCUGGUGCCCAGCGCAAGCCUGCUCAGGGGCAGAACACUCCUUCCUGGGCAUCUCCCCCACGCCUCCAGCAUCAUGCCAGGCCCACUCCCCCUGCCAUUCCAGAUGGGGAAACAGCCUCACGGAGGUAGGAAGGAGCAGAUGCACACUGGAAACAGGUCUGUGACCUGCCCGGGUGGCACGUAUGAGCUGUGUCCCAUGGAGAACAUGUCUGCUGUUGCAGGCUUUGCCCUUCCAUGCCCUGGCUUGUCCUGUCCCACACCAGCCUGACCUCUGAUGCCCAUGGCAACAGCACCUAAAACAGAUCAGUGUUCCCAGGGGCACACCCUGUGCUCAGUGCACCACCUAGAUGAUCUCUCCAUGCCCACAACAAACCUGUUAUGAGACACUCUUAGGCCCAUUUUUUGGAUGAGGAAACAGAGGCAGAGGGAGACAAAAGAUUGUGCUCAAGUCCGCACAGCUGGAAACACACAGAGAAGGGCUGGAACCCAACUAUCUACUUUUCGCUUUAAAAAAAAAAAAAGCUUUAGGACAUGAAAUAUCCUGAACGGCCCAUCUGUGGAUGCUGAAGGCAGAUUGUUUUGUCAGGUGCUGUGAGAAGGGGCAUGAGGAGAGCUGCUUAAUGGGCACGGGGGUUCCCGGGGUGGUGAAACUACUAGGAACUAGACAGAGGGGAGCGUUGCACGUUAGGAAUGUACAAAAUGCCAAUGAAUUGUACCCUUUAGAAUGUUUUUUCGUUUUCGUUUUUGUCUUUUUAGGGCUGCACCCACGGCAUAUGAAGGUCCCCAGGCUUGGGGUCAAAUCAGAGCUGUAGCCGCCGGCGUAUGUCACAGCCACAGCAAUGCCAGAUCUGAGCCAUGUCUGUGACCUACACCACAGCUCACAGCAAUGCUGGAUCCUUAACCCACUGAACAAGGCCAGGGAUCGAACCUGCGGCCUCAUGGAUGCUAGUCAGAUUCGCUUCCACUGAGCCACGCUGGGAACUCCAAACGGUUGAUUUUUAUGUGAUGUGAACUUCACUCUUAAAAAGGCUUAGGUUUUUCUAUUUAUUUGGCAAGAGGGGGUGUGACAGCAGGAGAGACUCUGAGAUGUCCUCGCUCCCCAGCUGGAGAGUCACCUCUCCCUGGCAGCCUCCCCAGCUGACCUCACCUGCUGCGACGGCCCCUCCUGACUACCAUGGUCUCUGUCCCAAUCACACCUGGCUCUGCCUGGUGGCUUUUACCCUGUGGUUCAUGGGGUACACAGGGCCAGGUGCCCUGGCUCCUUGCAGACGGGGCCUACAUAUGCACAAGUAUUUCUAGCAUCCCUCAGGUCCCUGAGGGCCCCUUCAAUCCUUGGUCCUCCCUCACCCCCCACCCCUGUCUGAGCUACGUUCUCAGAACCUUUGGCGCUGUCGCAGGUCUUCAAAGGUCAUCUGGUAGACCUCCAAACUCGCUGUUCUGGGCUACCUCCAGGCUUUCUUGCACCCCUCGGUGACAGAGAGCUCAUGGCUCCCCCACCUGAAAGUCCUUUCUUGGAGUGAAUCACCUGCCCUGCCCAGGGAAGAGCAAGCCCUGUCCCCUCUCUCCAGGACAGCCCAGCUCUGCUGUGAAGGCUGCUCCCAGCCCCUGCCUCAUAAUCUCUGAAUGUCCCUGACGUGGACGCCUCCCAACCGUGGGCCCCUCUCUCCAAGGCCACCUCCAUCCGGAGCCUAAACCCUUGAAGGCCCCCUGCUGGCAGGACCACCCAGCCCCUCGGGAUGAUGACCUUGGGGCCAGGUCUCCCUUCUGAUGUCUGGGCUUUUUCCCAUGGUCCUUGGCGAGGCUCACCCAGGGUGAGAAGGGGUCUCAGAGCAGAAAUCAAGCCUGGGACCCAUGAGCCUCCCCGGUGUGUGGGCCCUAGAGUCAGUUAGAAGCCUAUUCACCCUCUGCUACUUGAGCAAGGGCCUGCCCUUCCCCACUCAGAUCCUGUGGGGAAGGCUGAGUGGGAUGAGGCCAGCGAAAUACCCAGAAGAGAGCAAAUACCACUGUCUGUAAGCACAUUUGUUUAACAAAGCCAAUGACUCCUACCUGUGAGCCUGCGCUCGGUGUCAAAUGCCAGCUCACGCUUUACCUGUUUCUGCAUUUACCUGAACCAGCCAAAGAAGGGUUGGGCUUGGAGGUGCCACUUUGCAGACAGAGGCCCUGGGGGCAUCAUGGCUGGAGGUCUGCCUGAGCUCCCCGCAAAGUGACAGGUCCCAGCGUCUACGCCAGCACCAUGCUGGCACCACACUGGCCCCGCUGGUCUCCCCACCAGUGAGCCUGCCUUCCAGGUCUCGGAAUUCAAUCUGCUUCUCUGUUCUGGCUGCUGGGGCCCCUGCCAAGUUCUUCUGAAUGAACAGCAACUGCUGAACAUUCUAAGAAAUGCCUCCUGGGGUUUUCUCGGGAGCAGGCAGGAAGUCCUCUGGGCUGCAGGGACAGUGGUAGCAGGUGGCUCCCAGAGAUCUCUCUCUGGGGGCCCAGCCUGGUAACCCGAGGCAGGAGUGCGAGUCCAACGGCCUGCACCUACACGUGAACCCAGGGCCCCCCUGGCAGGCAGGCCUCCCCACCUGCUCUAUUUACAGACCUUGAGCCCCGGAGAGCAGCGUGGCCAGGGUCAGAGAGCGACGCUGGCCAGGGGCUGGGCCUGGCUCACUCCCCAUGGCAGCAGGAGGCCAACCAAGGGUUCUUAUCUGCCAGCCUGUUGUUACUUUACCUUCAGAUGAAUCUGUGUCAACUCUGUGCAGCUGAGUCCUAUGGGCCAGGCUUGAGGAGGGGGUGAAAAUUAUAAACAUAUUUUAUUUCUUAAUAACUGAAAAAAAUUGGUAUUUUGACAAGUACAAACGUUUGAAUGCAGGCAGUCCAGGUGCCAUUGUCGCCAGGUGACUUAUGCAAGAGAAUGUCCUUUGGUGGCUCUAAGAUUUCCCUUGAUUGUCUCACUGGUUGCCUUGCGCCCCCCCUUCUCCCAAGCCCCCCCCACCUUUUCAUGCUUCUAAACUCAAGGGUCACACUGUCACCUGAACACACCGAUCACAAUGGCAUCAUUAUAGUUCCAAAGC